AAGGGUGUAGCUCAGUGGUAGAGUGCAUGCUUAGCGUGCACGAGAUCCUGGAUUCAAUCCCCUGUACCUCCA
rnacentral:tRNA from 1 species